UACGUAGGGUGCAAGCGUUGUCCGGAAUUAUUGGGCGUAAAGAGCUCGUAGGCGGUUUGUCGCGUCUGCUGUGAAAUCCCGAGGCUCAACCUCGGGCCUGCAGUGGGUACGGGCAGACUAGAGUGUGGUAGGGGAGACUGGAAUUCCUGGUGUAGCGGUGAAAUGCGCAGAUAUCAGGAGGAACACCGAUGGCGAAGGCAGGUCUCUGGGCCACUACUGACGCUGAGAAGCGAAAGCAUGGGGAGCGAACAGG
rnacentral:rRNA from 1 species